ACGAACGCUGGCGGCAUGGAUUAGGCAUGCAAGUCGAACGGAAUUUUGGAUGUAGCAAUAUUUCCAAAGUUUAGUGGCGAAAGGGUGAGGAACACGUGAGUAACUUGCCCCUUAGUUGGGAACAACCCGCCGAAAGGUGGGCUAAUACCGAAUGUGGAUAAUUCUUCGCAUGUUGAAUUAUCUAAAGAUUUAUCGCUAAGGGAGGGGCUCGCGUCCCAUUAGCUGGUUGGUAGGGUAAUGGCCUACCAAGGCGAUGAUGGGUAGCUGGUCUGAGAGGAUGGUCAGCCACACUGGGACUGAGACACUGCCCAGACUCCUACGGGAGGCUGCAGUCGAGAAUCUUCCGCAAUGGGCGCAAGCCUGACGGAGCAAUGCCGCGUGAGGGAUGAAGGUCUUCGGAUUGUAAACCUCUGUCACCGGGGAGGAACAUAAUGACUGUACCCGGGGAGGAAGUCACGGCUAACUACGU
rnacentral:rRNA from 1 species